rnacentral:rRNA from 1 species
ACACUCCUGCGGGAGGCAGCAGUGGGGAAUAUUGGACAAUGGGCGCAAGCCUGAUCCAGCCAUGCCGCGUGAGUGAUGAAGGCCCUAGGGUUGUAAAGCUCUUUCACCGGUGAAGAUAAUGACGGUAACCGGAGAAGAAGCCCCGGCUAACUUCGUGCCAGCAGCCGCGGUAAUACGAAGGGGGCUAGCGUUGUUCGGAUUUACUGGGCGUAAAGCGCACGUAGGCGGACUAUUAAGUCAGGGGUGAAAUCCCGGGGCUCAACCCCGGAACUGCCUUUGAUACUGGUAGUCUUGAGUUCGAGAGAGGUGAGUGGAAUUCCGGGUGUAGAGGUGAAAUUCGUAGAUAUUCGGAGGAACACCAGUGGCGAAGGCGGCUCACUGGCUCGAUACUGACGCUGAGGUGCGAAAGCGUGGGGAGCAAACAGGAUUAGAUACCCUAGUAGUCCC